GAAUUCGCCCUUCGGUAAUUCCAGCUCCAAUAGCGUAUACUAAAGUUGUUGCAGUUAAAAAGCUCGUAGUUGGAUUUCUGCGUUGGUGGGGCGCCCGUGGGCCUCUGGCUCAUUGGGCAGCAACUCCGUCGCAUCCUGCCGCGAACCACGCUACCAUUCGUUUGGUGGCGUUUGGGGAUCGGCUCGUUUACUUUGAGAAAAUAGAGUGUUCAAAGCAGGCCUGAUGCCUUGAAUAAUGUAGCAUGGAAUAAUGAUAAAGGACUUUGGUUCUAUUUUGUUGGUGUUCGGGACCGAAGUAAUGAUUGAUAGGGACAGUUGGGGGCGUCUGUAUUCUGAAGCGAGAGGUGAAAUUCUUAGACCUUCGGAAGACAAACAGCUGCGAAAGCGUUCGCCAAGGAUGUUCCCUUUGAUCAAGAACGAAAGUUGGGGGAUCGAAGACGAUCAGAUACCGUCGUAGUCUCAACUAUAAACUAUACCAGCUAGGGAUCGGCCAACGUUGAUAUCAAAAGACUUGGUCGGCACCUUAUGAGAAAUCAAAGCAUCUGGGUUCCGGGGGGAGUAUGGUCGCAAGGCUGAAACUUAAAGGAAUUGACGGAAGGGCACCACCAGGCGUGGAGCCUGUGGCUUAAUUUGACUCAACACGGGGAAACUUACCAGGUCCAGACAUGAGAAGGAUUGACAGAUUGACAGCUCUUUCUUGAUUUUAUGGGUGGUGGUGCAUGGCCGUUCUUAGUUGGUGGAGUGAUUUGUCUGGUUAAUUCCGUUAACGAACGAGACCCCAGCCUGCUAAAUAGCGCGCGUGGCCUCUGGCCGCGGCAAGCUUCUUAGAGGGACUAUCGCUCGUUAUAGGCGAGGGAAGUUUGGGGCAAUAACAGGUCUGUGAUGCCCUUAGAUGUUCUGGGCCGCACACGGGCUACACUGACGCGUGCAACGAGCAUACCAGCUGGCCCGACAGGGCGUAGGCUAAUCUUUUGAACUCGCGUCGUGCUAGGGAUUGACCAUUGCAAUUGUUGGUCAUGCAACGAGGAAUGCCUUGUAAACGCGGGUCAUCAACCCGCAUUGAAUACGUCCCUGCCCUUUGUACACACCGCCCGUCGCUCCUACCGAUGAAUGUUCCGAUGAAAUUUUCGGAGGGCGCCUGUGAAGCGGUGCAAACCGCGGAACGGGAGGCCCGAAGUUGCUUAAAUCUGAACAUUUCGAGGAAGGAGAAGUCGUAACAAGGUAAGGGCGAAUUC
rnacentral:rRNA from 1 species